rnacentral:lncRNA from 13 species
AACGGGCUGAAUAACAGUCUAUCUUAUUGCUGCUUGUGCAUCAGGCAGUUUCAACGCAGAAAGUGGCCAAAAGUGAAGAUGCCCACCUCCAAAUCACUGUGAGUCUGGAACUUCACGAUGCCACCAAACAGUCACCUCUGACAGUCAACUCUAACAGUCACCUCUAACAGUCACCUCUAACAGUCAACUCUAACUCACGAUGCCACCAAACAGUCACCUCUAACAGUCACCUCUAACAGUCACCUCUAACAGUCACCUCUAACUCACGAUGCCACCAAACAGUCACCUCUGACAGUCAACUCUAACUCACGAUGCCACCAAAACAGUCACCUCUAACAGUCACCUCUAACAGUCAACUCUAACUCACGAUGCCGCCAAAACAGUCACCUCUAACAGUCACCUCUAACAGUCACCUCUAACAGUCACCUCUAACAGUCAUCUCUAACUUGCUUUUUCUUCCUCUCUUUCGUUCCUCUUUCAUUUCGUUAGUUUUUUCAACUCUGGGUUUUUCCAGGCUUGCCUGCUGCUCUCUGCUAGUUCUAGUUAAUAACCAUGACUGUCUCACUCUCCUGUCUGUCUCACUCUCCUGUCUGUCUCACUCUCCUGUCUGUCGCUAUGAAUGGAUGUAAUUCUAACCUGCAAGGUUUAGGCAGCUCACAUCUCAUACUGUCCUGUUGCUUGUCACCUGUAGAGGGCGUCAUCCACCCCCACCGCCCAGCNNNNNNNNNNAGCAGAAGCAGCCCAUGAUUCUUUAUGAGCGAACACAGCAGCAGCAGCCCAUGAUUCUUUAUGAGCGAACACAGCAGAAGCAGCCCAUGAUUCUUUAUGAGCGAACACAGCAGAAGCAGCCCAUGAUUCUUUAUGAGCGAACACAGCAGAAGCAGCCCAUGAUUCUUUAUGAGCGAACACAGCAGCAGCAGCCCAUGAUUCUUUAUGAGCGAACACAGCAGAAGCAGCCCAUGAUUCUUUAUGAGCGAACACAGCAGAAGCAGCCCAUGAUUCUUUAUGAGCGAACACAGCAGCUUCUACUAUGUUUGUAAUGAAAAACAAGAGACUUGAGAUUUAUGUGAAUCAAAGCAUUCCCUUUUGUUGUGUUCUUAUUUUCAUUUCAAAAUGACUGAGUUCUGGAUGUUGAACAGAAUAAGAGUUUUUACUGAAAAUAUAUCUACCGCUAACAACUUGGUAGCUGUGGCAUUAACCGUUUUGAGAGAGUCCAAUCAGAAAACAUGCAAUCGAAGGCACUUAUCUGAUGUGAACCCACUGAGACGUAUAGAGGUCACAACAUUGUAGCUGUCCCAUUAUGGUGUCUGUGACAGUAUGGCCAGCACCACUGAAGCCAUUUCCAUUUUAAAAUAGUCCCUUUUCUUCCUUCUUUAGAUAAAAAAAAAAGUGUAAACUAAUAUGGGUGUCUUAUCGCCUCCUGCAGUGCUGGAGUCCUGAACCAAAUUUAGUGUCAUUCAUUUAUU